rnacentral:other from 1 species
UACUUCCUGCGAUGUGCGUUAAGGCGAUCCAUGUUUUGAACCAAUGCUGUUUCCAAGGGAGUCCUACAUCAUCGGACGGCUGACAUGCCCUCGAAAGGGGACGUCAAAACUCGGAUUGCGGACACCCACCUGCGAGAGCGGGUUCAGAAACGAGCACGCCGAACGGCAUAUGCGGGUUUUUC